rnacentral:rRNA from 1 species
UACGAAGGUGGCAAGCGUUGUUCGGAUUUACUGGGCGUACAGGGAGCGUAGGCGGUUCGGUAAGCCCUCUGUGAAAUCUCCAGGCUUAACCUGGAACAGUCGGAGGGGACUGCCGGGCUAGAGGACGGGAGAGGAGCGCGGAAUUCCCGGUGUAGCGGUGAAAUGCGUAGAUAUCAGGAGGAACACCUGCGGUGUAGACAGCAUGCUGGACCAUUUCUGACGCUGAGGCACGAAAGCGUGGGUAGCAAACAGG